rnacentral:rRNA from 1 species
UACAGAGGGUGCGAGCGUUGUCCGGAAUCACUGGGCGUAAAGGGCGCGUAGGUGGUGGCUUAAGUGUGCGGUGAAAGCUCGGGGCUCAACCCCGAGUCGGCCGUGCGAACUGGGCUCACUGGAGCAUAGUAGAGGCAGGUGGAAUUCCGGGUGUAGCGGUGGAAUGCGUAGAGAUCCGGAAGAACACCGGUGGCGAAGGCGGCCUGCUGGGCUAUGGCUGACACUGAGGCGCGACAGCGUGGGGAGCAAACAGG